rnacentral:rRNA from 1 species
AACGAACGCUGGCGGCAGGCCUAACACAUGCAAGUCGAGCGCCCCGCAAGGGGAGCGGCAGACGGGUGAGUAACGCGUGGGAAUCUACCCAUCCCUACAGAACAACUCAGGGAAACUUGAGCUAAUACCGUAUACGCCCCUCGGGGGAAAGAUUUCUCGGGGAUGGAGGAGCCCGCGUUGGAUUAGCUAGUUGGUGAGGUAAUGGCUAACCAAGGCGACGAUCCAUAGCUGGUCUGAGAGGAUGAUCAGCCACACUGGGACUGGGACACGGCCCAGACUCCUGCGGGAGGCAGCAGUGGGGAAUAGUGGACAAUGGGCGCAAGCCUGAUCCAGCCAUGCCGCGUGAGUGAUGACGGCCCUAGGGUUGUAAAGCUCUUUCAACGGUGAAGAUAAUGACGGUAACCGGAGAAGAAGCCCCGGCUAACUUCGUGCCAGCCGCCGCAGUAAUAC